ensembl:snRNA U6 U6 spliceosomal RNA
CUGCUCGCUUAGGCAGCACAUAUACUAAAACUGGAACAACACAGAGAAGCUUAGCAUGGCCCCUGUUCAAGGAUGACAUGCAAAUUCAUGAAGGCUCCUUUUUUUUU